GGGAAGAAGUGAAUUUGUUAGUACAGGAUUGAGGUCAGAGGGGACAAAAAAGGGAAUAAAGUUAUGGAUAGAGAGAUUAACCAUAAACUUAGUAAGGG